CCGCCUUGUGACCGUUACAAUGGGCAUGUUGGUCCACGUGCAGAUGCCCACUGUCACGUUCACUGGGCGG
rnacentral:pre_miRNA from 1 species